CAAUGAAGAGGAACGUUUUGGUGCAAAUAUGGGUAGAGAAGGUAAAUAGACAGAAUGAGAAAUUUGUCUCGGGUCUUAAGAGAUGUAAACGACCCCUUGAUCGUUCGAGAAGAAACCUUUAGGAAGACCUACCAACUGCCGCAGAGUUCUGUAUUAUUCACCAGAAGUUGCAGGAAAAAUUAUAUACUCAUGUGCUACUUCACACAACAUCUUACGCAUAAGAAAUAUCGAAAAUGACGAGAUCAAUAUUGUCUAUGACAAGGAGAACGAUAAUAAUGAAGAACUUGAAUAUGAAGAACACAAUUUACUACAUGAAUGGCAUAUCGCAAGAAAUAAUUUAAUAAUACAGCAUUUUCAAUAAUGUAUUUAUUAUUUUUUUUACAACAUAAUGAAAUUAUUAAACAGUUCCUCUUUCA